GCCUACAGCCAUCCCACCCUGGCAACGCCCGAUCUCGUCCGAUCUCGGAAGCUAAGCAGGGUCGGGCCUGGUUAUUACUUGGAUGGGAGACCUUCUGGGAAUUCCGGGUGCUGUAGGCU